rnacentral:rRNA from 1 species
GUGUCAGCCGCCGCGGUAAUACGUAGGUGGCAAGCGUUGUCCGGAAUUACUGGGUGUAAAGGGAGCGCAGGCGGGACUGCAAGUUGGAUGUGAAAUACCGAGGCUUAACCUCGGAGCUGCAUCCAAAACUGUGGUUCUUGAGUGGAGUAGAGGUAAGCGGAAUUCCGAGUGUAGCGGUGAAAUGCGUAGAUAUUCGGAGGAACACCAGUGGCGAAGGCGGCUUACUGGGCUCUAACUGACGCUGAGGCUCGAAAGCGUGGGGAGCAAACAGGAUUAGAUACCCUGGUAGUCCACGCUGUAAACGAUGAUUACUAGGUGUGGGGGGUCUGACCCCUUCCGUGCCGCAGUUAACGCAAUAAGUAAUCCACCUGGGGAGUACGACCGCAAGGUUGAAACUCAAAGAAAUUGGCGG